GACGAACGCUGGCGGCGUGCCUAAUACAUGCCAGUUGAGCGAUGAAGAUUGGUGCUUGCACCAAUUUGAAGAGCAGCGAACGGGUGAGUAACGCGUGGGGAAUCUGCCUUUGAGCGGGGGACAACAUUUGGAAACGAAUGCUAAUACCGCAUAAUAACUUUAAACAUAAGUUUUAAGUUUGAAAGAUGCAAUUGCAUCACUCAAAGAUGAUCCCGCGUUGUAUUAGCUCGUUGGUGAGGUAAAGGCUCACCAAGGCGAUGAUACAUAGCCGACCUGAGAGGGGGAGCGGCCACAUUGGGACUGAGACACGGCCCAAACUCCUACGGGAGGCAGCAGUAGGGAAUCUUCGGCAAUGGACGAAAGUCUGACCGAGCAACGCCGCGUGAGUGAAGAAGGUUGUCGGAUCGUAAAACUCUGUUGGUAGAGAAGAACGUUGGUGAGAGUGGAAAGCUCAUCAAGUGACGGUAACUACACAGAAAGGGACGGCUAACUACGUG
rnacentral:rRNA from 1 species